UCCAAUCCGGUCAUCCCUUUAAAACAUUUCGAAGUUCAUCGAGCUUUCGCUGCUUUCGCUCGCGAAUCUGUAUGCGUUGCCAAGAGUUGCUCCUAAGAUCCUCCGGCCAUGGUGUCGUUGAUGUGCGAGUUACAGUUUUGGACCAUGAAGGACGAUGUCUUCAUCAAAGAUUCAGACCUGGGCUGCUUCAAGCUUCAUGACAAAGGAGACACAGAUCUCGAGGAAACAUACUUGGAUGCCAAAGAAGAGUAUGCUAAAGCUCGCGACGUGAUGUGGACGCCCUCCAACAGACGGCCCGAGAGGCUACGGGAUUCGAUCAAGGAAUUUGAGGACAUCCUGGGCACCCAGAAGUGCAUUUCCUUGAAGUGGAUAACAUCUGGACUGCUCCAGCUUUUCUUCCAAAGUGGUGCCUGUGCGUUCCUCCAAGUGGAGCCUGACAACUGCAAGCUCCAGAGAGUCUCCAUUGACCGAUACCUUGUUGGCAAGCUUGCGUCCGAGCACGUUUCUGAUGCAAUGCUGGAGAGCCGCUGCCUGCUGGUGGCAUACUACGAGCCCAAGAUGACCUACGUCUGCUUCUCAAAGUCGCUGACGGGGUCCGAAGGGGUCCGCAAGCUGUCCUCGGUCGACCCCAAGGUCGUGACCUUCGAUGUGCUGGGGCUCACAGGCCGCCGGCUGGAACGCAAGCUCAGCCUCAACUCCCUCAAAGACUGGGUUCUGACAUGGUGGUCUGUGGGGGAGGGCGAGGUCUGGCCAUGGAUGCCGUCUGCUUCCAAUCGGGAGCGCUCCAACAUGGUCGUCUACGCUCUCAAUGGUCCCAACGUGGAACUUCUGACGUACGGUCGGGUCGACAAGACGCCGGUGCUGGCUCACUUCAGUCAGUAUCAGUCCAACAAACUGCUGACAGUAGAAGAGGAUUCCUCUCGUGGUGGCAGCAUCGCAGUUGAUGUCUGCGUCUACGAACUGGCCAAAGGAAAGUUUGAGCGAGUGUCCAUGACGUCUAUUUCCCUUCAAGGCCGUGUGGUCACUUCUCAGUGGAACAACGCAGAAGACAAGUUGAUCCUUCUUUGUGACGACGCAUCUCUUGUCCUUUACGACGCAGUUCGGCAGACCACACAUUUUACAAGGACAUCCUUUGUGGGUGUGGACAUCACGUGGCACCCCGGAGGAUCCGUGGUUUUCUUUGCGUCCGAAGAAGGCCAACUUCAGUGCUUUGACACGGCACUCUCGACGAUCCAACUCAAGUUGGCCGGGGAGUUGUCGAACCCGACGUCAUCGCUGAACAUCGGCUCUUACGUGAGACAUCGGCCCAUUCUGUCCUACCUGAGCUGGCAGACAAGCGGAGACAGCCUCCGACUCCCCGCGUCGUCUGCCACAAAUUGUGCGGCAUUGCUGUUUGACAGUGGACCAUUGGCUGUGCUCAAGUUGCCACUGGGACUCCUCACUAGGGGGCAGCUUGGGCCUUUAGAGUUGGUGUCGCAGUACCUCAAGCACACCCAAGUCGAUGAGGCUAUCUGCCUGCUGCUAAGCUUGGACUGGGGUCGACUUGCCGAGCAGUGCUUCCUGUGCUUGUCCAAGGUUGCCAACUUCCUGCUCCGAAAGCCACUGGACUCGAACAGGGAAGCUCAACUGGAGGCAGCGCUAGGGAGCUUCUAUGGUCCUGCCCAGCCCAUUCCUGACUUGGUGGUGGCAGAGUACGGGGAGCGUGUCGGCCAUCUUGCCCGGCGUUUCUUCCACCACCUCCUCAGGUUUGAGAAACUGGAAAAGGCAUUUCUCCUGGCCGUGGAUCUGGGCUGCCGAGAUCUGUUUCUGGACCUUCAUCAUCUGGCCACAAGGAAGGGAGAGAAUGCCCUGAUGGAAGUGGCUCUGAGGAGGGCCAAUGCCCUCAAACCCAACCGUGUGCUUUCGGACUGCGACUCUGCAGACUUUAACGACUCGUCAAGCGAACUCACGGACGAUUGCUGUUCGAGUGACGAAGGAAACGGCGCUCGAUGCACCAUCCCUGGCAUCUCACCCGUGCAGACGAUGCCUCCCCCCAACUUCAGUGGUUGCCGACCACGCGCGCACACGAACCUCACAAGUGCCUCGUCCCAUUCAUUGCCCGGUCAGCACAGCACCACGAGCGUCCCCAAUGUCUCCAGCGGCGGCGGUAGUGCCAGCUACCGCUGGCCACCGUCCAAGGCAGUUCCGGUGACGCGGGCACCGGAAGAGGACCUCAUAGACCUGAGUGAUGAUUACGAAGACUACGAAUUCACGUCAGAUGGGAUCCGCCUCAGCGUACCGGUGGGCGUUCACCACGCACUGCCACCUCGGACGGUGGCCGCCGUCGUUACGACGCCGACGCAGCGCUCCGUGAUCCGGCCCAUCCCGAGGAUCGUGCGGCAUCCGCCGGAGCAUUUGGAAACUGCGCAGUCGCUAGUGGCGGACGUGUACAACCACGGAGCAGAGACCGGACCUGCAGUGCCUCGCAGAGAAAAUGGCCUCGCCAUUGCUCCACCGACAGUUGAAGAGCAAUCUGAAGAAAUCUUGAUUACGUACCUGUAGGGGCAGCCAACCGAUUCUCGGAGGCAAUUUUUUGUUUAUUCGGAAGAGGCAGCAAGGCCAGACGAUCCAAUGCGUCCACUUCGGCGUGGUCUGAAGACCAACCGGACGUUCCCGGCCGGACCGGCACGUCGAGAGAAGGAGGGAGCACCAUGGGGCAUAGACUCGCAUAAAUAUAUUUAUUGUUCAUACCUUAAUUUAUGCCAGUGUAAAGGCAACGAGACGUGUCACACCUACUCCUAUCAUGGCGGUAUAUCAUCCUCAAUCAUGUAUCAAAACGCGGUCGGAAAUAAAGAGAGUUCCUCCUGCGCGGUA